CACACACACAGGGAGAGCGCCGUGCGCUGGGCUAUCUACAGGUAGGGGAGAGAAGUGGGACAUAACGGUCCCACCAGGGUUGCGCGCCCCGCCGGCAGGAGCCGCAGCUGGGAAACACGAGCCCCACGGCGCCGGGACCCCCAGCCCGGCUGCACGAGCACCGCCAAACUUCUCACAACUUUCGCGAGGCGCAGCGAGAGGCACGCGGAGCGCCAGUGCGGCGGUGGAGGCGCCGGCCCGCACACAUCAUGACAGCGGCGAAGUGCAGAGCAGGCAGCCCGCGAGCGACCGCGCGCGAUGAGGAAGGGAGCGCCGCUCUCACUCAGGGAGCCUCCGCCUGGAACACAUGUGAGGCGCGCGCACACGUCUCGAGAGAAGAGACCCUGCAUCACACGCCACCUAUCUUCACGGGGAGGGAUAAUUGAGGCGCACACCAAACGUGAGCAUCCUCCUCUGGAAAACGUGAUCAGUUUUUUUUUCUUUUCUUCUUCUUUUUCUUUUUCUUUUUUUCCUUUUUUUUAUGAUCCGGGAGAAAUGAGCUGAGUCGGAUUACCUUGCAAUCCAAGCAAGAAUAAUAUUUGAAGAAAGUUGGAACAGCACCCCCUCCCCCUUCCUGCCCACCCACCCCCACAGCCUCCACAGCCAUGAUGAGAAAGAGGGGGGAUCAUGGUGCGUGGAUCUCUGACCCUCACACUCCCACCCAGGACCGGCAAACAGAUCAACGAAACAUCCACUCUCGUCCAAGUGAACAUCCGCGUCUCUUUCCUGCGUGUCUCGUCCGUGAACGCGCGCCUCUGCGUGAAUUUUACCCCGCAAUGUUCCCGUCUUCAUAUCUGCCUAAGGAAGCGACGUAGCAACACCAAGAGUAUUUACUGCAUCUUUUACCUUUGCUUAUUUGUAUUCUCUUUAGGAAAUCGAACGGCUUUUCUUUAAACUAAAAUGCAAACACAGUUUUUUUUUUUUUUUUUUGCUCAGUUUCAACUUAAAAAAAAUCGUGUUAUUGUUUUCACUUAUUAUAGACGAGUAUCUAACCCUUUAAGCAGUUUUUAAUGAAUGUUUUACUGUUAUGAUUGUGCGAAGCCGGACCAAAUAAGUAUUUUUUUUUUCCGUUAAAAAUAGUCAAACGGAUUAUAUGUUCAUGAGAAGCCAAAACUCUUUCGGAACUGUAAGGUCUUAGUCGCACAGGAAAGCUAAUUUUAAACUCUUUUGUUUUAAAGAUAAAAUAAUACAGUAACUUUGUCUUGAAGAACGCGUUCCAAAUAUUGUUCUUAUAAAGUUAGUGUUUUUGUUACUGUUACUAUUUGUUUCACAUGUAAUUAUUGCACAUAUAUAUAUGUAUUUCAGAGAGUGUGUGUCUGUCUGUCUGUCCGUAUGUCUGUGUGUGGAAGCUCCACCUUUGAAAGGCACUGAUUGGUCAUGUAAAUAACAUUUCUCCAUCUCUCCUUCUCCUAUCUAUAUGCACUCAUCUACUGUAUGGAUAAUUAAAUCAUCAAUCAGGGGCGGGGGGGGAGGGGGAGGGCGGACUGUUUGAUGCCUUUGUUCAAAGCCAAUCGGCUUCCAGGGGACCGACGAGCACGGAGCACGAGAAAAGAUGUUCAACAUCUGGAAGCACACCGGUGGCAUUUUCAAAGGCAGGUGCAUUGCUUACCGCAACUUUCUAGGUGAGUAUUAACUCUUUACCAUAAUAGAUCACACAAUUGUAUAUUUCAGUAAAAUCAUGUAGCGAAGUCUUAGUGUCCGGGAGGGAAAAAGAAGCGAACACACGGUGUGAAAGAGUAAUGAGAAGGUACUGACGGAAAAGUGAGUAAUUUGAACAGGUACGGACCACGUUCACCUUCUGAACGAUUCGGUAAUUUGGAAAAGAAUAUCUCUGGAAUUUAUAGUGAAACAGUUGUAAAGAGUGGUAAACUGACUGCUUGGUGAGGAUGGAUUACUGGGUGUAAGGGCAGUCAGGACGCUGGACUCGAACCCGGAGCCGCACCACUCCGUUAGGUGCUCCAGCAGCAUCUUUUUCACUCACCGGGUGCUCACAGUGCAGCGGCGGCGGCCGCACUGGCUACAUAUUCGGGAAACUUAGAGGAGAAACACAGUCACGGACAGCAGAAACGAGAGCGCAUCCCUUUUUUUAGCGAAUGCACGUAAAGGACUGCUUGCAAGAUCUGCGUUUGCUGGACGAGCGUGCGUGUGUGUGUGUGAGAGAGAGAGAGGGAGACGCACGCACGCGCGUUGGGUGUUAUUAACCGUUAUUUAGUGGACAAAGUGCGACGUGAAGUUUUUGGCUUCUGCCACAAGGUAUUUAUACGUUUUUACCCAUUUAUACAGCACGGCAUUAUUAUCAGGAGUGGGAUUCGAACUGAGGACCUGCAGACUAGGAGGGGAAAGUGCCAACCACUACGCCGCCUGCUGGGGAGUUUGAACAAAGCUGGAUGUUGCGGGUCCUUGGACUGCUCUGGACACAUUACUCAUUCACUUUGGGUCCGCUGCUCAGUCGUCCCAUGAGCGUUUCAUAAUGCACUAAAAAAGAUAAAACAGCAUAUUUCACAAGUCAGGAAGAUUAAUUUACAGUUGUAUGCACAAACAGCAAUACAAAUGCAAAUGCUUACAUUUUUAAUUAAAGUCACCACCUCCGUGCUGCUGUGGAAGAAAACGAAUACAUAUUGAAAAACCCAGUAAAUACUUUUUUUUUUUUUUGUUUUUUUUUUUU